UCUCCGUAGGUGAACCUGCGGGGGGAUCAUUACUGAGUGAGGGCUCACGCCCGACCUCCAACCCUUUGUGAACACAUCUUGUUGCUUCGGGGGCGACCCUGCCGGCACUCGGUCGCCGGGCGCCCCCGAAGGACUCCAAACACUGCAUCUUUGCGUCGGAGUUUAAAACAAAUUAAACAAAACUUUCAACAACGGAUCUCAUGGUUCUGGAAUCGAUGAAGAACGCAGC
rnacentral:misc_RNA from 1 species